rnacentral:rRNA from 1 species
GCUUGUCUCAAAGAUUAAGCCAUGCAUGUCUAAGUGUAAAUACGUCUACACUGUGAAACUGCGAAUGGCUCAUUAAAUCAGUUAUCGUUUAUUUGAUGAUCUCUUGUUACAUGGAUAACCGUAGUAAUUCUAGAGCUAAUACAUGCGUCAAGCCCCGACUCACGAAGGGGUGUAUUUAUUAGAUUCAAAGCCAACCGCGCAAGCGUACCUUGGUGAUUCAUAAUAACUUUGCGGAUCGCAUGGCCUUGUGCCGGCGAUGAAUCAUUCAAAUUUCUGCCCUAUCAACUUUCGAUGGUAAGGUAUUGGCCUACCAUGGUUACCACGGGUAACGGGGAAUUAGGGUUCGGUUCCGGAGAGGGGGCCUGAGAAAUGGCCACCACAUCCAAGGAAGGCAGCAGG